rnacentral:miRNA from 2 species
GCCUGGCUCCCUGUAUGCCAU